rnacentral:tRNA from 1 species
UGGGCUGUAGCUCAGUGGUAGAGUUUUGCCUGGCAUGUGGAAAGCCUUGGGUUCAUCACCAGCACCACAA